AUGCUGAAGAGUCCCAAAUAAAACGAAACGCUCGUCCUGCAU
rnacentral:hammerhead_ribozyme from 1 species